rnacentral:lncRNA from 1 species
CCCUUUACGCCACACUGGACCCUGGUGUUAUAUAAAGUCAGUGCGAAUACAAGCUUCUGUCUAUCUUCAGUGGAUGUGUCUGGUUGCUGUAGACUACACAAUGUGGAUUCUUCUAGCUGGGUUUGUGGUUCUGGUGUGUGCUGCAGAUGCCACACCAGUUCUUGGCAGAACAUUUCCUGAUUUUGGAAAGAUGUAUAAUGUCAAAGGUGUGGUGUCUUUGCCUCAUUCUGAGAUAAAGGAGCCGUUUGAAGCUUGGUACGAUCUUGAUGGGAACAGAAGUCGCAUUGACUAUCGUAAUAGCACAGUGCGCACCUUUCAGAUUGGAAAUGACUUGGAUUUUGGUGCCAUUUACAAGAUCACACGAGUCCUUCCUCCCAGUAAUAUUAAGUGUUUCCAGCUUAAAGGAACUAAAGAUGAUCCAAUAGAGCCGCAGGAAGCAAUCCCUGAUGCGCAGAGCUUUGAUUUUGAGAAGAUGGAAGAUUGCAAAGGUACUCAGCGUGAGGUCUGGAAAACCAUCACAGAGGCUGGCCAUAAGAAGAACACAUACUGUCUGUGGG